rnacentral:lncRNA from 1 species
AGCGCUUGCAUCCGCUGCGCUGGGCAGGGCGAGCAGUUUGGCGGAGUGCGGGGAGGAAUGAGGCUGGAGAGACCGAAGUUGUGCCGGAGAAGCUUGGGUUUUCGGGAGGGUUUUUGCAGCUGGACUGGAGUUAUUUCGGUCGGCGCCACACGAUUAAGAAGCCUUCAACCAGUUCUAGGAGUAGUGUUUCUAAGAAUCAUGGAUAAAAACCUCAUGUUUCUUGCAUAAGCUGAUACUGCUUCAGACAUUCUAAUCCAUUGACGAGGUAUGUAAUACGUGUUUCAUUUAAUGAAACCUAACAUAAAAG